UCCUUCUUUCACACACAACUUAAUUUCUGUCCAUAAGUUGGUGAAGGAAUUACAUUGCAUAGCCCUAUUUUCUGAACAUUCAUGUUUCCUCCAAAUGUUACAGGGCCCUUCUCUAAAGAAGCCACUGGAUCUUGGUAACCAAACUGAUGGAUUGUAUAAGUUGACAUGGGUCCCUCCUUCAUCUUCCCCUUCUUUAACAAGUUCUGUUUGUUCUGCUUCUACUUCAUGUGAUACUAGCAAGUUUAGUGUUUUGUCUUC
rnacentral:lncRNA from 1 species